CCCUUAGAUGUUCUGGGCCGCACGCGUGCUACACUGAGUAAAUCAAUGGGUAAGGGAACACGAAAGUGCAACCUAAUCUUGAAAUUUGCUCGUGAUGGGGAUCGACGGUUGCAAUUUUCCGUCGUGAACGAGGAAUACCUUGUAGGCGCGUGUCAUCAUCACGCGCCGAAUACGUCCCUGCCCUUUGUACACACCGCCCGUCGCUCCUACCGAUGGGUGAUCCGGUGAAUGAUUCGGACUUCAGCGGCUCCCCUGGGGUGCGCCGGAGAAAGUUUUGUGAACCUUAUCACUUGGAGGAAGGAGAAGUCGUAACA
rnacentral:rRNA from 1 species